rnacentral:rRNA from 1 species
GAUGGCCGAGUUGUAAUCUGUAGAGGAGUAUUCGAGUAUAGCUUUGGCUUAAGUUCCUUGGAACAGGGCGUCAGAGAGGGUGAGAACCCCGUUAUUGGCCCUUGUCUUAUGCUCAUGUGAAUCUCCUUCAGCGAGUCGAGUUGUUUGGGAAUGCAGCUCUAAAUGGGUGGUAAAUUCCAUCUAAAGCUAAAUACUGGCAAGAGACCGAUAGCGCACAAGUAGAGUGAUCGAAAGAUGAAAAGAACUCUGAACAGAGAGUUAAAUAGUACGUGAAAUUGUUGAAAGGGAAGCACUUGCUACCAGACGCACAUGCAAUUGAUCAACCUUCAAUCUUGGGGGUGCACUUUGUUGUAUGUGGGCCAGCAUCAGUUAUAACGGUGGGAUAAAGACUUGGGGAAUGUGGCUCUCUUCGGGGAGUGUUAUAGUCCCAGGUGUAAUGCCGCCA